AGUGGAACUGCUGGGUCAUGAAGUAUGUCUAAACUCUAUGUCUAAACUUUUGAUGAAUUGUCAAACUGUUUUCCAAAGUGGCUGUACCAUUUUACAUUACUACCAGCAGU
rnacentral:pre_miRNA from 1 species